ensembl:lncRNA
UCCUGGUGCAUCUGCAGGGGCAGGGGGCAGCCUCAGCCCUGGCACCCGUCAGUCCCCAGGGGGGCCGCACCCUAGGCCCCCAGGCUCUCACUCACCGGCCCUCAACGACGCACCAGCCACAAUACGGGUCCUGUGAGCUGCGACACUGCUCGCAGGUCAGGAAGCUUACACACUCCUGCACUGGGAGCCGGAAGACCUGCGGGGAGCAGGGCGGUGAGCGGGAUCACGGCCACCAAGGCGAGCGGCCAGGGGCACAGGGACCUCGCUCAGACCCCCGACUUCCCUAGGGUCACUGGCUUGAUCCCACCUUUAUCCCUAAGCUUGAAAGCCUCAACAGCAAUGCAAGGCUGGCCAGUGAGGGCUCUGGGCAAUGGCUGCCGGCCAGGCUCUGUGUGGCCUUGGUCUGUAGGCUGGACUCGACCCAGGAUCAGUUGGUGCAGGAGCCCAUGGAAUCAAGAGUCCUUGGCGGAAGUGCCUCCCCUGUGCCAGCCCAGGCCCUACGACCCCGCUCCCCGCAAGGGUGCCUGGAUAUCCUGAGGGCUCCCAAGGCCCCUGGCAGGCUAAGCUGCGGGGCUCAGCCCAGGUCCCCCACUGUCUGAGCUCACAGGGGCUGCAUGGGCCCCUGGCCACCCUGUUCCACCUUGGGGAAGGUCCAGUCAGAGUACUGGCCCAACCCUCCGGUCAGGAUGGGGCCAAAGCAGAGUCAGAGACACAGAACAGACAGGAAUAAUUUCAAAGACAGGAAGAGUACUUAGACACAGGAGGAGACCCCGCCAGGACCUGAGGGGAAGGGGCCAGCCCCCCUCGCGCCUUGCUCUGCCCCUCUCCAGGCCUGGCACAAAGCCCCGGACCCCCAAGGCCACUCCCUGGGGCCUCCACAGGCCUACCUUGUCCUGGGUCAUGGCGUACAGACUGGUCUUGUCUGCGGCCAGCACCAGGUCGCGCUUGAUUCUCUUGUUGAUUUCCACGAGGACAGAGCCGUACUCCGCGGAAGAAGUCCAGCUUGCGGGACCGCAGGCUCGAACUGGUGCCCACCAGGCCCAAGAGGAUCAGGGUCCAGAGCUGCAGCGCCAUUGCCCCUGGUGCCCUGUGGGACGCGAGGAGGGUCAGGGGAGCCCCAGACGGGAGGAUUCCCCCGCACAGGAAGCCCCCUAUCGCGGACCCUGCUGGAAGGACCAGAAUGCAGGCCAGGGAGGGGUGUGGCUGCCCCAGCGGCCCACGCCCCGGACACACCCGCUCUCCUCCCCAAGAAGACCCCCUCCCAGCAUCCUCCUCAAAGUUUUCCCAGCAACAUGACCUCUGACCAUAUGCCGCAGGAGCAGCCCAAGAAAUGGCAAAAAAGACAAAAAAAAAAAAAAGCAGCCAACUGCCAAACCCUCUGUGCCCCAGAAUCAUCACAGGGCACCAGCAGAGGCAAACCCCAGGGGGCAGGAAGACGCCCCUUAGCUGGACAGCUCCGGCCUCUGCACAGAAGCUCCUGGUUCUGGGGUGAUCAGUUCUUGACCGGCCCCUGGGGACCCCACAUGUCCUCCUCACAUGCCACUAGCAGAGGAGCUAACCACAGGCUGGCUGGCUGGUGGCCAAGAGGGGACCCAGCAGGGACCUGCGAAAGAGGUGAAGGUGGCCCAAGAUGCCUGACAGGUUGGGGAGAAGGUGGUGCCUUUGGUCAGAGACGGUAAGGUGUCACAGGCCCCUCGGCAGGCUGGGCAGAUCCUGGGGGAGGGGUCCCUCCCCGCACAGACUGCUCUGGGGCUCUGCCCGCUGCGCCCGCGGAGGGCGCCGCAGUUCCAAGGUCCCCAGCCGCGGGGCUGG